CGUGUAGGCGGACUCGCAAGUCGGUUGUGAAAUCCCUGGGCUCAACCUAGGAACUGCAUCCGAAACUGCUUGUCUUGAGUAAUGGAGAGGGUGGCGGAAUUCCCGGUGUAGAGGUGAAAUUCGUAGAUAUCGGGAGGAACAUCAGUGGCGAAGGCGGCCACCUGGACAUUUACUGACGCUGAGACGCGAAAGCGUGGGGAGCAAACAGGAUUAGAUACCCUGGUAGUCC
rnacentral:rRNA from 1 species